CUGAGAUCAGACACACUUGGGGCCGGGUUGGGAGGAACUGGCAGGAAGAGGACUGAACCCUUAAUGUCAGGCGGUUUUGAAGCACCUGGGGCAAGCUAUGGAAAUCCCCACAGGAAGGCUCACGCAGUCUCUUAGGAGGCUGCCCUCCACCUGCCACGUUCUUUUUGAUUGACUAAAAAACGCUGAAUGAAGAACGAAGUGGCGUGGAAACCCUCGCCACGCGCCUGCAGCGGACAGCGCAGCCCCGGAGGUUCGGGUGCGGACUUGCGCCCGGGGGCUGCGCUGCGAGCGGCCACGCAUGGCGGCUGGACCCGGGGGGCCGCAAGGGCUUGGCUGGGCCGCGGGAGGCGGGAGGUUCUUCGUCCUCCCGAGCCAUCUCCCUGAACUGACAAGCAGGACUCCCGGGUCCAGGAGGCACAGGGCCCGGGGCGGUGACCCGGCGGAUCUGGCGGCCGGAGGAGCCCACUGUAAAUGCCGCAACUGGCCCCAAACACUGCGUUCCUGGACUGCACCAGCAGCUUCUGGCGCGGCCGCAGAGUUGGUGGAUAUUUUCCAAGGGGGAAAAAAUCUUUUAAAUGCCAUCUGUUUACUUUAAAAAUGUUGAUUACUUAAGAAAAACGAAUGGAUGUCUGGGCAAAGGUAUGGACGUCACAAUUAUUUUGAAGGCGUCCUUUUUAACUUUAAACAGACCACGCCAGGAGGAGACUCCUGACCCAGAGCGCAUUACCUAAAAUCUGGUACCCAGAGUGCACCCUUCGCCCUCGUUGGAGUUCUCUCCUCUCUGCCAAGCUUUGCUCCGUGCCAGAGGUGUGCUCCAUUGUACCUCCGCUCUGUCCCUGCAGUCAGGCAACCAAUUGGAGAAGAGUAUAAAUAGUAAUUAACCAGGGAGAGUUGUAAUUCAGAAACCUAGUUAAAACAAGUCCUCAAAAACUAGAGAAUAUGAGAGUGGGGAGACAUUUUGAAGGCAUUAAGAACAAAAAACGAUGGGCACGAAUGGUUGAGUCUGAGGAUCAGCAUCGUAAUCUGUUAGAGAACGAGGUGGUGGCUGUGUCUGUGAGUCGUUAAUGGGUUUAAUCGGUUGAUACACAGCCGGCUAGUGGCCUAACCAGUAGCCCAGGGCCUGGCAGAUUUGCCUGACAUCUCGGAGUUUGAUUGCUCUUCCUUCCACUUGGCAAAAGGGGACACCAUCAGCCGGAUCAGGAGGGGUCAUGGUGAGAUGGAACCCACCGAGGUGGUGUACAGAGCUGGCGCUGCCACUGGCCAGAGUGGCAGCCUUUCUACCUCCUUAACCCUGCAAAAAUCAAACGUGCUAGUACGCACUGUCCAUCCACACUAGAACUCCAGUUGGUUUUAGUCUGCGAUGAUGACUCUUCUGGGUUGACUUUUCCAAUUCAUUAUGCAGCCCUCUUGAAGCAGGCCUCCCAAACUUAGCAGGCACCAAUGAGAACCUCACAGAGAGGCUCAUCAAGCAGGCUGGUGAAACUGGGUGUUACUUCCUGUUCCAUGGGUACCCCAUAGUGUUUGGGAAACACGGGGCUGUGGUUCAGGAGAAUUUCACGUAUGCUAAGAUGGAGAAAGAACCUGCCCUUUACAUUUAGGCUUGGGGUGUUAAUUUAAAGUUUGAAUGACCAAAAAUUAAAUCUGUAACUUUU
rnacentral:lncRNA from 1 species